CCUACGGGAGGCAGCAGUGGGGAAUAUUGCACAAUGGGGGAAACCCUGAUGCAGCAACGCCGCGUGAAGGAAGACGGUUUUCGGAUUGUAAACUUCUAUCAAUAGGGAAGAAAGAAAUGACGGUACCUAAAUAAGAAGCCCCGGAUAACUACGUGCCAGCAGCCGCGGUAAUACGUAGGGGGCAAGCGUUAUCCGGAAUUACUGGGUGUAAAGGGAGAGUAGGCGGCAAGGUAAGCGAUAUGUGAAAGCCUUAAGCUUAAAUUAAGGAUGGGAUAAUGAACUAUCUAGCUAGAGUAAAGGAGAGGAAAGUGGAAUUCCUAGUGUAGCGGUGAAAUGCGUAGAUAUUAGGAAGAACACCAGUGGCGAAGGCGGCUUUCUGGACUGAAACUGACGCUGAGGCUCGAAAGCGUGGGGAGCGAACAGGAUUAGAUACCCUUGUAGUC
rnacentral:rRNA from 1 species